AGCGGGGUAGAGCAGUUUGGUAGCUCACAAGGCUCAUAACCUUGAGGCCACGGGUUCAAAUCCUGUCUCCGCAA
rnacentral:tRNA from 1 species